UACGGAGGAUGCGAGCGUUAUCCGGAUUUAUUGGGUUUAAAGGGUGCGUAGGCGGACUGUCAAGCCAGCGGUAAAAUUGAGAGGCUCAACCUCUUCCCGCCGUUGAAACUGGUGGUCUUGAGUGGAUGAGAAGUACGCGGAAUGCGUGGUGUAGCGGUGUAAUGCAUAGAUAUCACGCAGAACUCCGAUUGCGAAGGUAGCGUACCGGCAUCCAACUGACGCUGAGGCACGAAAGCGUGGGGAUCAAACAGG
rnacentral:rRNA from 1 species